GAGACCACCAAACUUUGUAGUUGUCAAUGGCCACUUCCACAUCCAUUUGUUUUUUCGCUGCUCAUCACCAUUUUCUUCAACCUGCCAUUGCUUCUCAAGAUCGAAACCAGCGAAGGAAGAGACCGCAGCAGCAGCAAAUCCCUAGAAGCAAAAGAAGAAAUAAUAAUAUCCCAAGCCCUAAAUUGAAAACAAAAAGCAAAUCUUUAGAAGAAGCAGUUCCCAGUUUAGCAAGAGGAGGUAAAUAUGGUUUAGAAGCUACAACUUACGCAAGACUUCCUCCUAAAGAUGACUUCAUUUUACCCUCUUUGGAUUCAUCAGCUUUCAAUGAAGUUAAACUUUCUGAACUCACUCAAAAAAUAUCUUCUUUGAAUUUUAAAGAUAAGUAUUCAGUUUUAGAUAAAGAUGACAGUGAUGAUGAUGAUGAUGUUGGGGAAGAAUUUGUUGAAGUUGAAAACAUUGGGUUCGAUAAUUACGGUGAACAAUUUGAAUUUCCAAGUCAAGAAGAAGAAGAAGAUUAUGUUGUUGGAAAUCAAUUUGUGGGACUUGGUAAUAGCAAUGUGGAGGAAUCUUCAGAUUUUGAUGAAUUUGGAGAGGAGGAAGAAGAUUAUAAGGAGAAAGGGGUGCCAGCGGUGAUGAGAUGUUUCGAUAGGGCGAAAAUAUAUGUCAAAGCAGGAGAUGGAGGGAAUGGAGUUGUUGCAUUUAGAAGAGAGAAAUUUGUACCAUAUGGAGGACCAUCAGGUGGAGAUGGAGGAAAGGGAGGUAAUGUUUAUGUUGAAGUUGAUGCUGAAAUGAAUUCAUUGUUACCAUUCCGAAAGAAUAUUCAUUUUAGAGCUGGAAGAGGAUCUCAUGGACAAGGAAGUAAACAAGCUGGGGCUAAAGGGGAGAGUAUUAUUGUCAAGGUUGCCCCUGGCACUGUUGUUAGGGAAGCAACUGGUAAAGGUGGGGAAGAGGGAAAAGUCCUAUUGGAGUUACUGCAUCCUGGCCAGAGAGCUUUAUUAUUACCUGGGGGAAGGGGUGGAAGAGGAAAUGCUUCGUUUAAAUCCGGAACCAACAAGGUACCAAAGAUAGCAGAGAAGGGAGAAGAAGGUAUUGACAUGUGGUUGGAUUUGGAGCUAAAGCUGGUUGCUGAUGUUGGAAUUGUGGGAGCCCCAAAUGCAGGAAAAAGCACUCUGCUUAGUGUUAUAAGUGCUGCUCAGCCACAAAUAGCUAAUUAUCCGUUCACGACUCUACUUCCCAAUUUGGGUGUGGUUUCAUUUGAUUACGAUGCCACCAUGGUCGUAGCAGAUCUACCUGGUUUACUUGAAGGUGCACACCGAGGGUUCGGUUUAGGUCACGAGUUUCUACGGCACACUGAACGAUGUUCUGUCCUGAUACAUGUUGUUGAUGGCUCGGGAGAGCAGCCGGAGUGUGAAUUCGAUGCAGUUCGUCUGGAGCUGGAGCUGUUCAAUCCAGAGCUUUCCACAAAGCCAUUUUUAGUUGCAUAUAACAAAAUGGAUCUUCCAGAGGCAUAUGAGAGAUGGAAUUCGUUUAAGGACAACCUUGAAGCUCGUGGUUUCCGAACAUUUUGUAUGAGUGCAGCGAAUAGACAUGGCACUGAUGAAGUAGUUACAGCUGCUUAUCAGCUUUUAAAGGAAAAAGUGGAAGUGAACAAAGAUCCUAAAGGUUGGGCAGAACCAGUAAAUAUGAAUUAUGUUGCUGAAAGGGUACGAAAGCAACGAAAUGCUUCUAUUAGUGACUUUGAAAUCUCUCAAGAUGGCGGUAGUUGGCAUGUGGUUGGAGCAGGGCUACAACGUUUUGUUCAAAUGACAAACUGGCAGUACUCAGAAUCCAUGAGAAGGUUCCAGCAUGUUUUAGACGCUUGUGGUGUCAACAAGUCCCUUAUCAAACUUGGGGUCAAGGAAGGUGACAAGGUGGUUGUUGGUGAGAUGGAGAUGAUAUGGCAUGAUUCUAACGACAACAUUGGCACGCCCAAUACGAAGAAAGGCUUAGCGGGUCAAAUCAAGUAUCAUCUGCCGAAAUAAUGCUCCUCCUGAUGUUCCUAUGCUUCUGGAUAUCGCUGCUAGAGUUCCCUAAGCAUCUGUACUACAAGAAGGAAGCAAGUUUGUAAAGAUGAUGUGCGAGCGGUCAAAUGUUUUUAUUUUGGCGUGAGUGCAACAGUAUAUUCAUUAACUUGACAAUGAGUUAUCGUACAUCAGCGUUGAUUCUGACCGCCUUGUUCUGAUAUGUGCUGUACCUAAGGACCCACAGUUUUAGCACUACGAUUACCAGAAAGUGGAACUGGUUUGGCCGUCUGACUGUCUUCCUUAAUUAUGGCUGCAGUUGCUUGAUUAGAAUUAGCAGGAUAAUGAGGAUCAUCAUUUGGGCAAGAUGCAGCUGUUGUUAUACACUUGCUAAGACGGUGAUGUCAAGGCGGGGAAUACAAAUAACUGGCGUGACGAAUUAAUUCUGUAGAUGUCGAUAUCUUCUUCAGUGGGUAUGAGAAACUAUUCUAUUCUUAUCAUCAGUAAGGCACAUCAUAACAUGCCAAACUUUAUCCCCCAUGGCGUGAUUCUCAGCUGAAAAAUAGCUUUAUGAAUUCACAUUAUACUGCUGGAGGCUCAUCAGUUUUUCUUCUUCGUCCAUUUAUGUAAUUUGAAAUGAAUAAUAUGCAAUUGAAGCACUGAAAACACUGGCCCACAAACCGUCCAUUUCUUUUUUUUUAACAUUACUAAGUUGCAUAACAGCAUCGGGACAUCUUUUUUCUGAAAAUGAAAAUAGAAAAUCAUUAAGC